CUGUUACCCCACACCAGGUCCUUCUCUUCCAGUUGCCUCCCUGCUGGUGAUGCUCCACAGCCUGAUCCCUGCACCAGGGCAUCUCCAGCCCUGCAGAGGAUAUCCAAGGACUGUAAUAUUUGGACAUCCUCUGUUGAUAGGCAGGCUACAUAUAUUUAGCAGGUCUUUUUCUGUUCUCACUGCCUGGGACCCUACAGGUAGCUAAUGCUUAGCUAUUCCCUGUCAGAUGGGAAAUUUUGCAAAGCUCUGGAAAUCUUUUGAAAUUUCAAUAGUGCCACGUGGUGUCAGUCUGCAAAACUGGUAAGAAACUACAAAAUGGAGAGCACUACACCCUCUACUUCUGUAAUCAUCAGAUUGCAGAAAAAGAAACAUGAGGAGCUACUGUUAUCAGUAUGUGUGCGCUUGUCCUCACUUCUGUUCCUGUGCAUAGCCUUGUGCACAUGGUUGGAGCCUUUAAUAACACCCGGAUGCAAUGGAGCAGACUCAGAAAUAAAGCAGCAGGAGCAGACACCACAUCCGUCCUUAGAUGUUGUCACUGAUGUUUGUUUCUGUGCUGAUUUUGCUGAGCAUGCAUACUGUGGAUGACUUGAUGAAGAGGGGCCCAGCAAGACCUACAUGCCAAAGGACAGCACGGUAAAAAGUUAUUGAAAUGUUACCAGCAACUGCCUCCUAGCAAAGAAAGAACCAUGUUAUGGAAAGUAAUGUCCUUUUUUUUUUUUUUUUCAAGGAAAACUCAUGCUCCCACUCGGUAUCAAUUAAGAAGAAAAAAUGCUGGGAAAAUGGUAUGGACACAACAUAAACUGCCUUUCUGGAAAUGGGGUCUGCACAGAGGUUCCGUGACCCACCAAGUGCUCUUCUGUAGACUUCAGCCAGGUAUAUUUAGCUUGGAAAUCCAAGUUUUCUAUGCCAGAAAUCAGACUUUUUUUCCAUUUCGUCUAUGACACCUAAUAUACAAUGCUUUCUUCACAAAAGGGAAUGGGACAAAAGCAAAUAGGAACACUUUGAAACACUGGGGUUUUUUUCUUCUGCUGGUGUAAGCUGCACUCGCAUUACCAUGCUGCUGCUAGCAGCUGGCAUGAUUUAAACCAUUCUGUGUGCUCUGUAUUCCCAGCCACUGCCAAACAAAAAGGCAUCCAUUCUGCAAACAGCACUGAGCAAAGGCGGCACAGGGCAACACACUCUCCAACUAGGACAAAAUGGGCAAUUUUCAAAAACACAUUGUAUAAAGGACUCUCAAGGCAUCAGCAAAAAUUGCAAUUGUGUUUGGAUCCAGCUUUCCAUUUUCAAAAUGCCUUUUUAUGGGCUUACAUGGCAAAAAUCUGAUGAUUGUUUGUUCAGUGCACAUAUCCUUGCCUCCUGGCGUGGGCUGUUUUUCCAUGCUCUUACUGGCAGAAGAGCUUCAUUAC